GACGAACGCUGGCGGCGUGCUUAACACAUGCAAGUCGAACGGAAAGGCCCUGCUUUUGUGGGGUGCUCGAGUGGCGAACGGGUGAGUAACACGUGAGUAACCUGCCCUUGACUUUGGGAUAACUUCAGGAAACUGGGGCUAAUACCGGAUAGGAGCUCCUGCUGCAUGGUGGGGGUUGGAAAGUUUCGGCGGUUGGGGAUGGACUCGCGGCUUAUCAGCUUGUUGGUGGGGUAGUGGCUUACCAAGGCUUUGACGGGUAGCCGGCCUGAGAGGGUGACCGGCCACAUUGGGACUGAGAUACGGCCCAGACUCCUACGGGAGGCAGCAGUGGGGAAUAUUGCACAACGGGCGGAAGCCUGAUGCAGCAACGCCGUGUGCGGGAUGACGGCCUUCGGGUUGUAAACCGCUUUCGCCUGUGACGAAGCGUGAGUGACGGUAAUGGGUAAAGAAGCACCGGCUAACUACGUG
rnacentral:rRNA from 1 species